rnacentral:rRNA from 1 species
CCUACGGUGAGCAGCAGUCGAGAAUCAUUCACAAUGGUGGAAACCCUGAUGGUGCGACGCCGCGUGGGGGAAUGAAGGUCUUCGGAUUGUAAACCCCUGUCAUGUGGGAGCAAAUUAAAAAGAUAGUACCACAAGAGGAAGAGACGGCUAACUCUGUGUCAGCAGCCGCGGUAAUACAGAGGUCUCAAGCGUUGUUCGGAAUCACUGGGCGUAAAGCGUGCGUAGGCUGUUUCGUAAGUCGUGUGUGAAAGGCGCGGGCUCAACCCGCGGACGGCACAUGAUACUGCGAGACUAGAGUAAUGGAGGGGGAACCGGAAUUCUCGGUGUAGCAGUGAAAUGCGUAGAUAUCGAGAGGAACACUCGUGGCGAAGGCGGGUUCCUGGACAUUAACUGACGCUGAGGCACGAAGGCCAGGGGAGCGAAAGGGAUUAGAUACCCUUGUAGUC